UGGGGAAUUUUGGACAAUGGGCGCAAGCCUGAUCCAGCCAUGCCGCGUGCGGGAAGAAGGCCUUCGGGUUGUAAACCGCUUUUGUCAGGGAAGAAAUCUUCUGAGUUAAUACCUCGGGAGGAUGACGGUACCUGAAGAAUAAGCACCGGCUAACUACGUGCCAGCAGCCGCGGUAAUACGUAGGGUGCAAGCGUUAAUCGGAAUUACUGGGCGUAAAGCGUGCGCAGGCGGUUUUGUAAGACAGAGGUGAAAUCCCCGGGCUCAACCUGGGAACUGCCUUUGUGACUGCAAGGCUUGAGUGCGGCAGAGGGGGGAUGGGAUUCCGCGUGUAGCAGUGAAAUGCGUAGAUAUGCGGAGGAACACCGAUGGCGAAGGCAAUCCCCUGGGCCUGCACUGACGCUCAUGCACGAAAGCGUGGGGAGCAAACAGGAUUAGAUACCCUGGUAGUCCACGCCCUAAACGAUGUCAACUGGUUGUUGGGAAGGUUCCUUCUCAGUAACGUAGCUAACGCGUGAAGUUGACCGCCUGGGGAGUACGGCCGCAAGGUUGAAACUUAAAUGAAUUGACGGGGU
rnacentral:rRNA from 1 species